rnacentral:rRNA from 1 species
GACGAACGCUGGCGGCGUGCUUAACACAUGCAAGUCGAACGGAAAGGCCCUUUCGGGGGUACUCGAGUGGCGAACGGGUGAGUAACACGUGGGUGAUCUGCCCUGCACUUUGGGAUAAGCCUGGGAAACUGGGUCUAAUACCGAAUAUGAUCAUGCGCCUCAUGGUGUGUGGUGGAAAGCUUUUGCGGUGUGGGAUGGGCCCGCGGCCUAUCAGCUUGUUGGUGGGGUAAUGGCCUACCAAGGCGACGACGGGUAGCCGGCCUGAGAGGGUGUCCGGCCACACUGGGACUGAGAUACGGCCCAGACUCCUACGGGAGGCAGCAGUGGGGAAUAUUGCACAAUGGGCGCAAGCCUGAUGCAGCGACGCCGCGUGGGGGAUGACGGCCUCGGUUGUAA